rnacentral:rRNA from 1 species
GAUUGAACGCUGGCGGCAUGCCUUACACAUGCAAGUCGAACGGCAGCACGGGUACUUGUACCUGGUGGCGAGUGGCGAACGGGUGAGUAAUACAUCGGAACGUACCUUAUCGUGGGGGAUAACGCAGCGAAAGCUGUGUUAAUACCGCAUACGCCCUGAGGGGGAAAGCGGGGGAUCGAAAGACCUCGCGCGAUUAGAGCGGCCGAUGCCUGAUUAGCUUGUUGGUGGGGUAAAAGCCCACCAAGGCGACGAUCAGUAGCUGGUCUGAGAGGACGAUCAGCCACACUGGGACUGAGACACGGCCCAGACUCCUACGGGAGGCAGCAGUGGGGGAUUUUGGACAAUGGGGGCAACCCUGAUCCAGCAAUGCCGCGUGAGUGAAGAAGGCCUUCGGGUUGUAAAGCUCUUUUGUCAGGGAAGAAACACCGGCUCUAACACAGUCCGGGAAUGACGGUACCUGAAGAAUAAGCACCGGCUAACUACGUGCCAGCAGCCGCGGUAAUACGUAGGGUGCAAGCGUUAAUCGGAAUUACUGGGCGUAAAGCGUGCGCAGGCGGUUAUACAAGACAGGCGUGAAAUCCCCGGGCUUAACCUGGGAAUGGCGCCUGUGACUGUAUAGCUAGGGUGUGUCAGANGGGGGUAGAAUUCCACGUGUAGCAGUGAAAUGCGUAGAUAUGUGGAGGAAUACCAAUGGC